GACGAACGCUGGCGGCGUGCUUAACACAUGCAAGUCGAACGAAGAGCGAUGGAAGCUUGCUUCUAUCAAUCUUAGUGGCGAACGGGUGAGUAACGCGUAAUCAACCUGCCCUUCAGAGGGGGACAACAGUUGGAAACGACUGCUAAUACCGCAUACGAUCUAAUCUCGGCAUCGAGGAUAGAUGAAAGGUGGCCUCUACAUGUAAGCUAUCACUGAAGGAGGGGAUUGCGUCUGAUUAGCUAGUUGGAGGGGUAACGGCCCACCAAGGCGAUGAUCAGUAGCCGGUCUGAGAGGAUGAACGGCCACAUUGGGACGGAGACACGGCCCAGACUCCUACGGGAGGCAGCAGUGGGGAAUCUUCCGCAAUGGACGAAAGUCUGACGGAGCAACGCCGCGUGAGUGAUGACGGCCUUCGGGUUGUAAAGCUCUGUUAAUCGGGACGAAAGGCCUUCUUGCGAAUAGUGAGAAGGAUUGACGGUACCGGAAUAGAAAGCCACGGCUAACUACGUG
rnacentral:rRNA from 1 species